rnacentral:rRNA from 1 species
AGCAGCCGCGGUAAUUCCAGCUCCAAUAGCGUAUAUUAAAGUUGUUGCAGUUAAAAAAGCUCGUAGUUGAAUUUCGAGACCGGUUUACUGGUCGUGCUUUUGUACGUACUGGUAUUAUUGGUUUCUCCUUUCUGACGAAUCAUAAUGCCAUUAAUUUGGUGUUUUGGGGAAUCAGGACUGUUACUUUGAAAAAAUUAGAGUGUUUAAAGCAAGCUAACGCUUGAAUACAUUAGCAUGGAAUAAUGAAAUAGGACGUUCGAUCCUAUUUUGUUGGUUUCUAGGAUUGACGUUAAUGAUUAAUAGGGAUAGUUGGGGGCAUUAGUAUU